GGGCCCGCACAAGCAGUGGAGCAUGUGGUUUAAUUCGAUGCAACGCGAAGAACCUUACCAGGGUUUGACAUCCUGCGAAUCUCUUGGAAACGAGAGAGUGCCUUCGGGAACGCAGUGACAGGUGGUGCAUGGCUGUCGUCAGCUCGUGUCGUGAGAUGUUGGGUUAAGUCCCGCAACGAGCGCAACCCACGUCUUUAGUUGCCAGCAUUUAGUUGGGCACUCUAGAGAGACUGCCGGUGAUAAACCGGAGGAAGGUGUGGAUGACGUCAAGUCAUCAUGCCCCUUACAUCCUGGGCUACACACGUACUACAAUGCUACGGACAAAGGGCAGCAAGUUCGCGAGGACAAGCAAAUCCCAUAAACCGUGGCUCAGUUCAGAUCGUAGGCUGCAACUCGCCUACGUGAAGGAGGAAUC
rnacentral:rRNA from 1 species